CUUCUCCACCAGUCUUACACACUGCUUUUUAAUAACUUUAUGCCUUUACUCCUGGUGCAAAAAUUCAAGCAGUUCAGUUUGGUUUGAUGGCUUGUGAUCAUCCAUCUUCCUCUUGAUUAUAUUCCAGAGGUUUUCAAUUUGUUAAAAUCAAAGAAACUCCUCAUUUUUAAGCAGUCUUUUAGUUUUCUUCCAGAGCUGUGUAACAAAAAGGAUCAGAUUUGGUCUGUUUUUACUUACUGUGUAUGUGAAUGUAGACUCUGUUUGUUGGAGUUCCUGUUUUUUUUGUAUUUUACAUUGGUCAGAUUAGUAGCCUGCAACUACAACUUCAAAACAGCAGCUUUUUUCUAUUGUAUAAAUGACUGUUUUAUUAAAGCGUGCGUGGUCUCAUUUAAUUGAUGUAUCAAUGCUAAAAGAUGCUUUUCUUACUUUCCUGAACGGCACUGUUAUUGUGACUGACUGAUGUGUGAUAUAGAUCUGAAACUGAUGUGAUGUUUUUGUAGCUGCCCUGCUGUAAAUAAAUUUAUUUAGAAAAUAAAUAAAGCAUUUUAUUGCUAAUGGAAAAUUAA